rnacentral:rRNA from 1 species
UACAGAGGGGGCAAGCGUUGUUCGGAAUUACUGGGCGUAAAGGGCGCGUAGGCGGCCCGCUAAGUCGAACGUGAAAUCCCCGAGCUCAACUCGGGAACUGCGUCCGAUACUGGCGGGCUUGAAUUCGGGAGAGGGAUGCAGAAUUCCAGGUGUAGCGGUGAAAUGCGUAGAUAUCUGGAGGAAUACCGGUGGCGAAGGCGGCAUCCUGGACCGACAUUGACGCUGAUGAGCGAAAGCCAGGGGAGCAAACGGG